AUACGGAGGGGGCUAGCGUUGUUCGGAUUUACUGGGCGUAAAGCGCGCGUAGGCGGUAUAUCAAGUUAGGCGUGAAAGCCCCGGGCUCAACCCGGGAACUGCGCUUAUUACUGAUAAACUAGAGUCCGGGAGAGGGUGGCGGAAUUCCCAGAGUAGAGGUGAAAUUCGUAGAUAUUGGGAAGAACACCAGUUGCGAAGGCGGCCACCUGGACCGGUACUGACGCUGAGGUGCGAAAGCGUGGGGAGCAAACAGGAUUAGAAACCCCGGUAGUCC
rnacentral:rRNA from 1 species